GUGUCAGCAGCCGCGGUAAAACGUAGGAGGCGAGCGUUAUCCGGAUUUACUGGGCGUAAAGCGCGUGCAGGCGGUUCGGCAAGUUGGAUGUGAAAUCUCCCGGCUCAACUGGGAGGGGUCGUUCAAAACUACCGGACUAGAGGAUGGUAGAGGAAGGUGGAAUUCCCGGUGUAGUGGUGAAAUGCGUAGAUAUCGGGAGGAACACCAGUGGCGAAAGCGGCCUUCUGGACCAUUCCUGACGCUCAGACGCGAAAGCUAGGGGAGCGAACGGGAUUAGAUACCCUUGUAGUCC
rnacentral:rRNA from 1 species